rnacentral:rRNA from 1 species
UACGUAGGGUGCUAGCGUUGUUCGGAAUCAUUGGGCGUAAAGCGCGUGUAGGUCGUUAUUUAAGUCGGGUGUGAAAUCCCUGGGCUCAACCGAGGAAGUGCAUCCGAAACUAAAUAGCUAGAGAAUGGUAGAGGAAGGUGGAAUUCCAAGUGUAGAGGUGAAAUUCGUAGAUAUUUGGAGGAAUACCGGCGGCGAAGGCGGCCUUCUGGACCAUUUCUGACACUGAGACGCGAAAGCGUGGGGAGCAAAC